CUCCGCGGUGCGGCCGGAGUUGGGACCGAAGUCCUCCCGGGCGCUCCGCUGUCUCUUCCAAGCGGCUCCUAUCAGCACGGCUUCAACUCUUUCCAUCGGAGACCGAGGGGAGGAGGAGAAGGAGGCGGAGGAGGAGGAGAGUGAGUCACUUGGUUGUCUAAGCCUCAGGAUCACCUCAUCAAAUGCCACACCUUCACAUGCAAUUUCCAGAAGACAGCUCAACCUUUCCUCAUCCUAAGACUUCGAGAUGCAGCACCGAGCAUUUAAGACCACACAAAUGUCUGUCAGCAUUUAAAGAUAUAAUGGACAGUACUUUUCUAUCAAAGAAAAGAUUGUUUGUCCUAAAAUCUUCUAGCAUUUUCCUGCUACUAUUUUGCUGUUUCUCUCACUAGGCUGGGAUCAGUUCUGUUGGUCAUGUGUGUGUAUGCAUUGCUCAAAGACUUACUAAUAAAACAUAAAUAAAAGUUUUGUAAUGUUUCCAUGGA